UACGUAGGGUCCGAGCGUUGUCCGGAAUUACUGGGCGUAAAGAGCUCGUAGGUGGUUUGUCACGUUGUUCGUGAAAACCCACAGCUCAACUGUGGGCGUGCGAGCGAUACGGGCAGACUAGAGUACUGCAGGGGAGACUGGAAUUCCUGGUGUAGCGGUGGAAUGCGCAGAUAUCAGGAGGAACACCGGUGGCGAAGGCGGGUCUCUGGGCAGUAACUGACGCUGAGGAGCGAAAGCGUGGGGGAGCGAACAGG
rnacentral:rRNA from 1 species